GAUGAACGCUGGCGGCGUGCCUAAUACAUGCAAGUCGAGCGAACGGACGAGAAGCUUGCUCCCCUGAUGUUAGCGGCGGGCGGGUGAGUAACACGUGGAUAACCAACCUAUAAGACUGGGAUAACUUCGGGAAACCGGAUCUAAUACCGGAUCAUAUGUUGAACGGCAUGGAUCAAAAGUGAAAGACGGUUUUGCUGUCACUUAGAGAGGGUUCCGUGUCGGAUUAGCUAGUUGGUAAGGUAACGGCUUACCAAGGCGACGAUGCGUAGCUGACCUGAGAGGAUGAUCAGCCACACUGGAACUGAGACACGGUCCAGACUCCUACGGGAGGCAGCAGUGGGGAAUCUUCCGCAAUGGGCGAAAGCCUGACGCAGCAACGCCGCGUGAGUGAAGAAGGCCUUCGGGUCGUAAAACUCUUUUAUUAGGGAAGAACAAAUGUGUAAGUAUCUGUGGACGUCUUGACGGUACCUAAACAGAAAGCAACGGCUAACUACGUG
rnacentral:rRNA from 1 species